rnacentral:lncRNA from 7 species
AAACCACUUUUUUAAAAAUAUAUAGUUCAAGCACACUUUGGGUAAUAAACAAACAUUGGCACCAUGAAGAGGUUACCCGAGUGGGAAGUACAGACUUACAGAGAGGCAGCUGUCCUUAACUUUGUGCUACUGCAAAUCCCCAGCUCCUUUCUGAGAGUAAAGAAGGCAUCUCGGUUCAGCUGUUAUCUUCACACAGCUGAAGUAUCUUCUGGAAGGUGAGCUGCUUUGCCCCUGGAAGGACCCAUCAUAGCUCUGCUCGUGGCCAGUAGAGGGCAAUGGUGCAUAUAGUCAAGACGGCAGGUCAAAAGUAGGCAUCCUACAUCCAUUAGAGAUUCAAAAAUCCACUUCUGUCUCUUCAUCAAAGAUGGAUACCUACUGUAUUGCAAUCCUGUCAUGAAUUAUCCUCUAGGAAUUUUUCCAUAGGAUUAUUCAUCAAGAAGAGUAUCAGCUGUCCAGGAUCCUGUUCUGAUGAUGCUCAAAUAAUGUAUCAUCUGGAGGAAUUUUUCUUAUAUUUAUCUCAUGACCUAAAACCUGUGCCAUACUUUUCAGAGACAUACAGAAAUAACCCAAAUAGUUGUUCUGCUGGAGAUGGUUCUGGAAGCCUGACUUACCAGCCUGCUUACAAAGGCUAAGCUGCCAUCACAAAGCCAAAAUCUGUAUGAACUUCAUCUUGCCUGCGAACUGGAGCCAAUGAUUAAAUCAAAGACACCAGAAUUUAAAACCAAACAAGAUUGUUAAGUAUUGCUCAUAUUAAUUUGCAGAGUAAGACAACAGAAUAGCCCUAGAUCACUGUAGUUUCUGGUAGGGACCAAAUGAAGUUACCCUAAGGUUUAAUUACACUGAGUUUGGAAAACUUACAGACUUUAACUAUGCAGUGUAUACAGAGGUAUCUGUACAUUUCAGAGUACACAGAUAACAACAGAAAAGAAGAAUUGAUUGAAAUGUAAGUAGAAGAAUAAAGUAGCAUUUUUUUGUGUGUCUCACUAGAUUUCUAAAACCCAGUGAAAGAUGCUUCAGUUUUAAAGAUGUUUCUGCUACUUGGAAAUUCUUAAAAUAAUCAGUUCUGAAGUGCUUAGCAAUAUCCUUCAUUUCCCAAUGAGGAAAAUAAACAUGAAUCAGGAGUAACAUGUAGGAAGGGAAGAAGGAAGUUGGUUGUUUUAGUCAUACAAGUUUAACAACAAUUACAUGUUAAUUUGACUUAGAACAAAAGAGAGUAAGAAGAAAACAAGAGGAAGGAAAUAGAGAACACAUAUACAGUGUGGAUGUGUUAAUAAAAUAAAGAAAGAGUGGAAUAAUUAAGCCUGCAGAUAGUUGCAAUGCUAUA